rnacentral:pre_miRNA from 1 species
AUACAGAUCACCUGGAAAUUUUGUUAAAAUGCAGAUUCUGGUUCAGCGGUUUACAAUGGGGCCUGAGAGUCUGCAUUUCUAACAAGCUUUCGGAUCAUGCUGAU